CGGGGCGUGGCUCAGCUUGGUAGAGCGUCUGGUUCGGGACCAGAAGGUCGAGAGUUCAAAUCUCUCCGCCCCGA
rnacentral:tRNA from 1 species